GGAGGAAAGCAGGGGAUCGCAAGACCUCGCGCUAUUGGAGCGGCCGAUGUCCGAUUAGCUAGUUGGUGGGGUAAUGGCCUACCAAGGCGACGAUCGGUAGCUGGUCUGAGAGGAUGAUCAGCCACACUGGGACUGAGACACGGCCCAGACUCCUACGGGAGGCAGCAGUGGGGAAUUUUGGACAAUGGGCGAAAGCCUGAUCCAGCCAUGCCGCGUGAGUGAAGAAGGCCUUCGGGUUGUAAAGCUCUUUCGGCCGGAACGAAAUCGUCCGAGCUAAUACCUCGGAUGGAUGACGGUACCGGAAGAAGAAGCACCGGCUAACUACGUGCCAGCAGCCGCGGUAAUACGUAGGGUGCAGGCGUUAAUCGGAAUUACUGGGCGUAAAGCGUGCGCAGGCGGCUUCCUAAGUCAGAUGUGAAAUCCCCGGGCUUAACCUGGGAACUGCGUUUGAAACUACAAAGCUAG
rnacentral:rRNA from 1 species